UACGGGGGGAGCAAACGUUGUUCGGAAUCACUGGGCGUAAAGGGCGUGUAGGCGGCUGAAUAAGUGGGAUGUUAAAUCCCCCGGCUCAACCGGGGACCUGCAUCUCAUACUGUUCAGCUCGAGCACAUCAGAGGAGACUGGAAUUCCCGGUGUAGCGGUGAAAUGCGUAGAUAUCUACUGGAACGCCGAUGGUGAAGACGCUCGGCUGGGCCUUUCCUGACGCUGAGGCACGAAAGCGUGGGGAGCAAACAGG
rnacentral:rRNA from 1 species